rnacentral:rRNA from 1 species
UACGGGGGGGGCAAGCGUUGUCCGGAAUUAUUGGGCGUAAAGGGCUCGUAGGCGGUUUGUCGCGUCGGGAGUGAAAACUCAGGGCUUAACCCUGAGCCUGCUUCCGAUACGGGCAGACUAGAGGUAUGCAGGGGAGAACGGAAUUCCUGGUGUAGCGGUGAAAUGCGCAGAUAUCAGGAGGAACACCGGUGGCGAAGGCGGUUCUCUGGGCAUUACCUGACGCUGAGGAGCGAAAGUGUGGGGAGCGAACAGG